rnacentral:rRNA from 1 species
AACGAACGCUGGCGGCAUGCCUAACACAUGCAAGUCGAACGAGACCUUCGGGUCUAGUGGCGCACGGGUGCGUAACGCGUGGGAACCUGCCCUUAGGUGCGGAAUAACUCCCCGAAAGGGGUGCUAAUACCGGAUAAUGUCUUCGGACCAAAGAUUUAUCGCCUUUGGAUGGGCCGGCGUUGGAUUAGCUAGUUGGUAGGGUAAAAGCCUACCAAGGCGACGAUCCAUAGCUGGUCUGAGAGGAUGAUAAGCCACACUGGGACUGAGACACGGCCCAGACUCCUAAGGAAGGCAGCAGUGGGGAAUAUUGGAGAAUAGGCGAAAGCAUGAUCCAGCCAUGACGCGUGAGUGAUGAAGGCCUUAGGAUUGUAAAGCUCUUUUACCCGAAAUGAUAAUGACAGUACCGGGAGAAUAAGCACCGGCUAACUCCGUG